rnacentral:misc_RNA from 1 species
GAUGAAGAACGAAGCGAAAUGCGAUAAGUAGUGUGAAUUGCAGAAUUCAGUGAAUCAUCGAAUCUUUGAACGCACAUUGCGCCCUUUGGUAUUCCUUAGGGCAUGCCUGUUCGAGCGUCAUUUAAACCUUCAAGCUAAGCUUGGUGUUGGGUGACUGUCCGCUUCACGGCGGACUCGCCUCAAAAUUAUUGGCGGCCGGUACAUUGGCUUCGAGCGCAGCAGAAACGCGAACUCGGGCCCGUCGUAUUGGCUCCCAGAAGCUAUCUUCACAAUUUUGACCUCGGAUCAGGUAGGGAUACCCGCUGAACUUAAGCAUAUCAAUAAGCGGAGGA